rnacentral:rRNA from 1 species
UACGUAGGUGGCAAGCGUUGUCCGGAUUACUGGGCGUAAAGGGCGUGCAGGCGGUUUGUUAAGUGCAGGGUGAAAGCUCCCGGCUCAACUGGGAGAGGUCCUUGCAUACUGGCAGACUUGAGGGAGGCAGAGGAAAGUGGAAUUCCCGGUGUAGUGGUGAUAUGCGUAGAUAUCGGGAGGAACACCUGUGGCGAAGGCGGCUUUCUGGGCCUUACCUGACGCUGAGACGCGAAAGCGUGGGGAGCGAACCGG